rnacentral:rRNA from 1 species
GACGAACGCUGGCGGCGUGCUUAACACAUGCAAGUCGAACGGAAAGGCCCUGCUUUUGUGGGGUGCUCGAGUGGCGAACGGGUGAGUAACACGUGAGUAACCUGCCAUUGACUUUGGGAUAACUUCAGGAAACUGGGGCUAAUACCGGCUAGGAGCUCCUGCUGCAUGGUGGGGGUUGGAAAGAUUCGGCGGUUGGGGAUGGACUCGCGGCUUAUCAGCUUGUUGGUGGGGUAGUGGCUUACCAAGGCUUUGACGGGUAGCCGGCCUGAGAGGGUGACCGGCCACAUUGGGACUGAGAUGCGGCCCAGACUCCUACGGGAGGCAGCAGUGGGGAAUAUUGCACUAUGGGCGGAAGCCUGAUGCAGCAACGCCGCGUGCGGGAUGACGGCCUUCGGGUUGUAUACCGCUUUCGCCUGUGACGAAGCGUGAGUGACGGUAAUGGGUAAAGAAGCACCGGCUAACUACGUG